rnacentral:rRNA from 1 species
GUGGGGAAUCUUCCGCAAUGGACGAAAGUCUGACGGAGCAACGCCGCGUGAGUGAAGAAGGUUUUCGGAUCGUAAAGCUCUUUCGUUAGGGACGAACGUGCUCUUUGUGAAUAAUGAGGAGUAAUGACGGUACCUAAAUAAGAAGCCACGGCUAACUACGUGCCAGCAGCCGCGGGAAUACGUAGGUGGCAAGCGUUGUCCGGAAUUAUUGGGCGUAAAGCGCGCGCAGGCGGGAUAUCAAGUCUGUCUUAAAAGUGCGAGGCUCAACCUCGUGAGGGGACAGAAACUGGUAUUCUUGAGUGUCGGAGAGGAAAGUGGAAUUCCAAGUGUAGCGGUGAAAUGCGUAGAGAUUUGGAAGAACACCAGUGGCGAAGGCGACUUUCUGGACGAUGUCUGACGCUGAGGCGCGAAAGCUAGGGGAGCGAACGGGAUUAGAAACCCGUGUAGUCC